rnacentral:rRNA from 1 species
ACAUUGGGACUGAGACACGGCCCAGACUCCUACGGGAGGCAGCAGUGGGGAAUAUUGCACAAUGGACGAAAGUCUGAUGCAGCAACGCCGCGUGAAGGAAGAAGGUCUUCGGAUUGUAAACUUCUUUGAUCAGGGAAGAAUAAUGACAGUACCUGAAGAACAAGCCACGGCUAACUACGUGCCAGCAGCCGCGGUAAUACGUAGGUGGCGAGCGUUAUCCGGAAUUACUGGGUGUAAAGGGCGCGUAGGCGGGACUGCAAGUCAAAUGUGAAAUACCGAGGCUUAACUUCGGUACUGCAUCUGAAACUGUAGUUCUUGAGUGUCGGAGAGGAAAGCGGAAUUCCCCAUGUAGCGGUGAAAUGCGUAGAUAUGGGGAGGAACACCGGUGGCGAAGGCGGCUUUCUGGACGAAAACUGACGCUGAGGCGCGAAAGCGUGGGUAGCAAACAGGAUUAGAUACCCUGGUAGUCCACGCUGUAAACGAUG